rnacentral:rRNA from 1 species
GACGAACGCUGGCGGCGUGCUUAACACAUGCAAGUCGAACGGUGAAGCGCCUUCCUUUUUGGUGGGUGUGGAUGAGUGGCGAACGAGUGAGUAACACGUGAGUAACCUGCCCCCUUCUUCUGGAUAACCGCAUGAAAGUGUGGCUAAUACGGGAUAUUCUGGGUCUGUCGCAUGAUGGGUCUGGGAAAGAUAUUGUUUCGGUGGGGGAUGGGCUCGCGGCCUAUCAGCUUGUUGGUGGGGUGAUGGCCUACCAAGGCGGUGACGGGUAGCCGGCCUGAGAGGGUGGACGGUCACACUGGGACUGAGACACGGCCCAGACUCCUACGGGAGGCAGCAGUGGGGAAUAUUGCACAAUGGGCGCAAGCCUGAUGCAGCGACGCCGCGUGAGGGAUGGAGGCCUUCGGGUUGUGAACCUCUUUCGCCAGUGAAGCAGGCCUGCCUCGUUUGUGGGUGGGUUGACGGUAGCUGGAUAAGAAGCGCCGGCUAACUACGUG